AUACGAAGGGGGCUAGCGUUGUUCGGAUUUACUGGGCGUAAAGCGCACGUAGGCGGAUUGAUAAGUUAGGGGUGAAAUCCCGAGGCUCAACCUCGGAACUGCCUCUAAUACUGUCAAUCUCGAGACCGGAAGAGGUGAGUGGAACUCCUAGUGUAGAGGUGGAAUUCGUAGAUAUUAGGAAGAACACCAGUGGCGAAGGCGGCUCACUGGUCCGGUACUGACGCUGAGGUGCGAAAGCGUGGGGAACGAACAGGAUUAGAAACCCUAGUAGUCC
rnacentral:rRNA from 1 species